rnacentral:rRNA from 1 species
CCUUCGGGGUACUCGAGUGGCGAACGGGUGAGUACACGUGGGUGAUCUGCCCUGCACUUUGGGAUAAGCCUGGGAAACUGGGUCUAAUACCGAAUAGGACCACGCGCUNNNNGGUGUGUGGUNGNNNGCUUUUGCGGUGUGGGAUGGGCCCGCGGCCUAUCAGCUUGUUGGUGGGGUAAUGGCCUACCAAGGCGACGACGGGUAGCCGGCCUGAGAGGGUGACCGGCCACACUGGGACUGAGAUAUGGCCCAGACUCCUACGGGAGGCAGCAGUGGGGAAUAUUGCACAAUGGGCGCAAGCCUGAUGCAGCGACGCCGCGUGAGGGAUGACGGCCUUCGGGUUGUAAACCUCUUUCAAUAGGGACGAAGCGCAAGUGACGGUACCUAUAGAAGAAGCACCGGCCAACUACGUGCCAGCAGCCGCGGUAAUACGUAGGGUGCGAGCGUUGUCCGGAAUUACUGGGCGUAAAGAGCUCGUAGGUGGUUUGUCGCGUUGUUCGUGAAAACUCACAGCUUAACUGUGGGCGUGCGGGCGAUACGGGCAGACUAGAGUACUGCAGGGGAGACUGGAAUUCCUGGUGUAGCGGUGGAAUGCGCAGAUAUCAGGAGGAACACCGGUGGCGAAGGCGGGUCUCUGGGCAGUAACUGACGCUGAGGAGCGAAAGCGUGGGGAGCGAACAGGAUUAGAUACCCUGGUAGUCCACGCCGUANACGGUGGGUACUAGGUGUGGGUUCCUUCCUUGGGAUCCGUGCCGUAGCUAACGCAUUAAGUACCCCGCCUGGGGAGUACGGCCGCAAGGC